CCCUUAGAUGUUCUGGGCUGCACGCGCGCUACACUGAUGCGCUCAACGAGUUUUAACCUUGCCUGGAAAGGUUGGGUAAUCUUUUUAAAACGCAUCGUGAUGGGGAUAGAUUAUUGCAAUUAUUAAUCUUCAACGAGGAAUGCCUAGUAAGCGUGAUUCAUCAAAUCGCGUUGAUUACGUCCCUGCCCUUUGUACACACCGCCCGUCGCUCCUACCGAUUGAGUGUGUUGGUGAGGAGUUUGGAUUGGCCUCGGAAGGUGGUUCGCCACCGUCCGUAGCUGAGAAGUUCUCCAAACCGCCCCACUUAGAGGAAGGAGAAGUCGUAACA
rnacentral:rRNA from 1 species